rnacentral:rRNA from 1 species
AUGUGGCGGGAAAGUCAACUCUGUUUAUUUUUUACCGUUAAGUUGACCGUUAUGACAGAUGGACCCCACACAUCAGCAUCACCUUCUUCCUCCUCUCUCUCUUUAGCAUUUCCACAAACACCUUACCAGCAGUGGAGCAGCACACCGGCGGUAGUCCGAGAUGCCGAAUCGUCGAUGAAGUCUACCACCACCUUCGCAGUAGAGAUCCAGCAGGAUGACGUGGACGCCGCCGGCAAGCCGGAUGGCGGCGUGCCCCGGCCGUCUCGGGUCCGCCAUCUUGCUCUUCUCACCGCCACCUUCUACGCACUGGUCUUCUACGCGCACAAGGGCGUACCAGGCAGCAUGGUGUCCGCCCUGUUUAAGUCGCCCGUCACCGUUUCAUCCCUUCCCUCGCUGGCCAGCAUCACCAUCGACCAAAACUCCGGACGGGCGGAGCAGCCGGUGAUGCUGAGUGAGGGACGUGCACGGCUCACUCCUCAGGCGACGGUGCUCGAGGCCAAUCGGGGCAUGGCUGUACCGGCGCCGACGCCGGCCGACCAUUGCGAUGGGCGGUACAUCUACAUGUACGACAUGCCGUCGCGCUUCAACGACGACCUCAUCCGAGACUGCGGCAAGGGCAGGAUCUACCCCUGGUUGGACAUGUGCCCGUACAUGGCCAACGACGCAUGGGCCAGCCCUGGCCAACGACAGGGCAUCUUCCCCGGCCGCGACUGGUACUCCACCGACCAGUUCAUGCUCGACCUCAUCUUCCACGCGCGGAUGAAGCGCUACGAGUGCCUGGCCAAGGAUUCUUCCCUCACGGCCGCCGUCUUCGUCCCCUUCUACGUCGGCCUGCAGUCCGAAGAGCUACCACCCGUGUGUUGCUCUACCGCUGGUAAGGUGUUUGUUGAAAUGCCAGAGAGAAAGAGGAGGAAGAAGGUGAGGCUGACGUGUGGGGUCCACCUGUCGUAA